rfam:Volvox carteri f. nagariensis unplaced genomic scaffold VOLCAscaffold_112, whole genome shotgun sequence.
GGGGUCGUAGCUCAAAUGGUAGAGCGCCCGCUUAGCAUGCGAUGCUGAGCGCCGCAGAUGAUAUGCGGGAGGUAGGGGGAUCGAUGCCCUCCGACUCCA